GACAGAGGGGGCAAGCGUUGCUCGGAAUCACUGGGCGUAAAGGGCGCGUAGGCGGGAUGGCAAGUCAGUCGUGAAAUCUCUCGGCUCAACCGAGAAACGUCGGCUGAUACUGCCGUUCUUGAGGGAUGCAGAGGAGACUGGAAUUCCCGGUGUAGCGGUGAAAUGCGUAGAUAUCUGGAGGAAUACCGGUGGCGAAGGCGGCAUCCUGGACCGAGAUUGACGCUGAGGAGCGAAAGCUAGGGGAGCAAACGGG
rnacentral:rRNA from 1 species